AGGAUGAACGCUGGCGGCGUGCCUAACACAUGCAAGUCGAACGUCCUGUCUCGCAAGAGGCAGGGAGUGGCGGACGGGUGAGUACCACGUGGGUCAUCUACCGUGAGGUGAGGAAUACCGGCGAGAAAUCGCCGACAAGACCGCAUAGGCUCGAUGCAAGUCGAGCAAAGCUCUUUCGAGAGAGGGAGCGCCACACGAGGAGCCUGCGCCCGAUUAGCUAGCUGGUGGAGUAACGGUUCACCAGGGCGACGAUCGGUAGCUGGUCUGAGAGGACGAUCAGCCACACUGGGAUUGAGAACGGCCCAGACUCCUACGGGGGGCAGCAGUGAGGAAUUUUCGUCAAUGGGGGCAACCCUGAACGAGCAACGCCGCGUGCAGGAAGAAGGUUUCGGAUCGUAAACUGCUUUUCUCGGGGAAGAGAAUGGACGGUACCCGAGGAAUCAGCCCCGGCUAACGUACGCGCCAGCAGCCGCGGU
rnacentral:rRNA from 1 species